CACGCCGUAAACGCUGAUUACUAGGUGUAGGGGGUAUAGACUCCCUCUGUGCCGCAGUUAACGCAUUAAGUAAUCCACCUGGGGAGUACGGCCGCAAGGUUAAAACUCAAAGGAAUUGACGGGGGCCCGCACAAGCAGUGGAGUAUGUGGUUUAAUUCGAAGCAACGCGAAGAACCUUACCAGGGCUUGACAUCCUCGGACGACACUAGAGAUAGGGCUUUUCUACGGAACAGAGUGACAGGUGG
rnacentral:rRNA from 1 species